CUUAGCGAACUGAAACAUCUGAGUAGCUAAAGGAAGGAAAAUCAACCGAGACCCCGUUAGUAGCAGCGAGCGAGAGCGGAACAAGGGUUUUCAUCAAAAGAAAUCCGAAGCGGUUUCAUUCGAUUUGUUGUGGAUUGGAUGAUGGAAAAACCAGCAAGCAGCAAGCGUAGGCUGUGUUGCCGUAGUGCGCCCUACGGAGUUGUACAAAGUCAGCAACCGUUUUGGGGCGCAAGCAUAGGCAACACAGGACUGAUGACGGGGUGGGGCGCGCAGUGAACUGGUUUUCUAAAAAGAUUGGAAGAUCCGGCCAAAGAAGGUGAUAGCCCUGUUCAUUCGUUCCCAUGGUUCGAUCCUUCCCAGUAAAACGCGGCGUGUUCGAAUGAUGAUCGCUUUUACGCGAGAAAGGGGGACCACCCUCUAAGCCUAAGUAUUCCUCAAUGACCGAUAGCGUACAAGUACCGUGAGGGAAAGGUGAAAAGAACCCCAAUCGGGGAGUGCAAUAGAGAACCUGAGAUCCGAUGCGAACAAUCAG
rnacentral:rRNA from 1 species